rnacentral:rRNA from 1 species
CCUACGGGAGGCAGCAGUGGGGAAUAUUGCACAAUGGGGGAAACCCUGAUGCAGCGACGCCGCGUGAGUGAAGAAGUAUCUCGGUACGUAAAGCUCUAUCAGCAGGGAAGAAAAUGACGGUACCUGACUAAGAAGCUCCGGCUAACUACGUGCCAGCAGCCGCGGUAAUACGUAGGGGGCAAGCGUUAUCCGGAUUUACUGGGUGGAAAGGGAGCGUAGACGGCAGGACAAGUCUGGUGUGAAAUCCCGGGGCUUAACCCCGGAACUGCGUUGGAAACUGGGCGGCUGGAGUGUAGUAGGGGGAAGCGGAAUUCCUAGUGUAGCGGUGAAAUGCGUAGAUAUGAGGAGGAACACCGGUGGCGAAGGCGGUUUACUGGACUGUAACUGACGUUGAGGCUCGAAAGCGUGGGGAGCAAACAGGAUUAGAUACCCGGGUAGUC